rnacentral:rRNA from 1 species
CUGGGCUUGACAUGUGCGCGACCGCCGUGGAAACACGGCUUCCCUUCGGGGCGCGUUCACAGGUGGUGCAUGGCUGUCGUCAGCUCGUGUCGUGAGAUGUUGGGUUAAGUCCCGCAACGAGCGCAACCCCCGUCGUAUGUUGCCAGCAUUUAGUUGGGGACUCAUGCGAGACUGCCGGUGACAAACCGGAGGAAGGUGGGGAUGACGUCAAGUCAUCAUGCCCCUUAUGUCCAGGGCUACACACGUGCUACAUUGGCGCGUACAGAGGGCUGCGAUACCGCGAGGUGGAGCGAAUCCCUUAAAGCGCGUCUCGGUUCGGAUUGCAGGCUGAAACUCGCCUGCAUGAAGGCGGAGUUGCUAGUAAUCGCGGAUCAGCAUUGCCGCGGUGAAUACGUUCCC